rnacentral:rRNA from 1 species
GAUGAACGCUGGCGGCGUGCCUAAUACAUGCAAGUCGAGCGAACGGACGAGAAGUUUGCUUCUCUGAUGUUAGCGGCGGACGGGUGAGUAACACGUGGAUAACCCACCUAUAAGACUGGGAUAACCUCGGGAAACCGGAGCUUAUACCGGAUAAUAUCUUGAACCGCAUGGUUCAAAAGUGAAAGACGGUCUUGCUGUCACUCAUAGAUGGAUCCGCGCUGCAUUAGCUAGUUGGUAAGGUAACGGCUUACAAAGGCAACGAUGCAUAGCCGACCUGAGAGGCUGAUCGGCCACCCUGGAGCUGGAACACGGUCCAGGCUCCUGCGGGAGGCAGCAGUAGGGUAUCUUCCGCAAUGGUCGAAAGCCUGACGGAGCAACGCCGCGUGAGUGAUGGAGGUCUUCGGAUCGUAAUGCUCUGUUAUUGGUGGAGAACAUAUGUGUAAGUAACAGUACACAUCUUGACGGUACCUGAUCAGGAAGCCCCGGCUAACUACGUG